rfam:Beggiatoa sp. IS2 Ga0073106_1108, whole genome shotgun sequence.
AACCGAAACUCCCCUCACGGGGAGUCCGACCGGGAUUAAUCACCCGGCGCUGAUGAGGCAGAUUCCU